rnacentral:rRNA from 1 species
GAAGGGAGCUUGCUCCCGGAUGUUAGCGGCGGACGGGUGAGUAACACGUGGGUAACCUGCCUGUAAGACUGGGAUAACUCCGGGAAACCGGAGCUAAUACCGGAUAGUUCCUUGAACCGCAUGGUUCAAGGAUGAAAGACGGUUUCGGCUGUCACUUACAGAUGGACCCGCGGCGCAUUAGCUAGUUGGUGAGGUAACGGCUCACCAAGGCGACGAUGCGUAGCCGACCUGAGAGGGUGAUCGGCCACACUGGGACUGAGACACGGCCCAGACUCCUACGGGAGGCAGCAGUAGGGAAUCUUCCGCAAUGGACGAAAGUCUGACGGAGCAACGCCGCGUGAGUGAUGAAGGUUUUCGGAUCGUAAAGCUCUGUUGUUAGGGAAGAACAAGUGCAAGAGUAACUGCUUGCACCUUGACGGUACCUAACCAGAAAGCCACGGCUAACUACGUGCCAGCAGCCGCGGUAAUACGUAGGUGGCAAGCGUUGUCCGGAAUUAUUGGGCGUAAAGGGCUCGCAGGCGGUUUCUUAAGUCUGAUGUGAAAGCCCCCGGCUCAACCGGGGAGGGUCAUUGGAAACUGGGAAACUUGAGUGCAGAAGAGGAGAGUGGAAUUCCACGUGUAGCGGUGAAAUGCGUAGAGAUGUGGAGGAACACCAGUGGCGAAGGCGACUCUCGUCUGUAACUGACGCUGAGGAGCGAAAGCGUGGGGAGCGAACAGGAUUAGAUACCCUGGUAGUCCACGCCGUAAACGAUGAGUGCUAAGUGUUAGGGGGUUUCCGCCCCUUAGUGCUGCAGCUAACGCAUUAAGCACUCCGCCUGGGGAGUACGGUCGCAAGACUGAAACUCAAAGGAAUUGACGGGGGCCCGCACAAGCGGUGGAGCAUGUGGUUUAAUUCGAAGCAACGCGAAGAACCUUACCAGGUCUUGACAUCCUUUGACAACCCUAGAGAUAGGGCUUUCCCUUCGGGGACAGAGUGACAGGUGGUGCAUGGUUGUCGUCAGCUCGUGUCGUGAGAUGUUGGGUUAAGUCCCGCAACGAGCGCAACCCUUG